GAUGAACGCUGGCGGCGUGCCUAAUACAUGCAAGUCGAGCGAACAGACGAGGAUCUUGCUCCUGUGACGUUAGCGACGGACGGGUGAGUAACAAGUGGCUAACCUACCUAUAAGACUGGGAUAACUUCGGGAAACCGGAGCUAAUACCGGAUAACAUGUUCAACCGCAGGGUUCAACAGUGAAAGACGGUCUUUGUGUCGCUUAUAGAUGGAUCCGCGCGGUAUUAGCUAGUUGGUAAGGUAAGGGCUUACCAAGGAAACGAUGCGUAGCCGACCUGGGAGGGGGGUCGGCCGCACGGGAGCGGGGACACGGUCCCGAGUCCUACGGGAGGCAGCAGUCGCGAACCGUCCGCAAUGGGCGAAAGCCUGACGGAGCAACGGCGCGCGAGUGAAGACGGUCUUCGGAUCGUAAAACUCUGUUAUUAGGGGAGAACAAAUGUGUAAGUAACAAUGCACGACUUGACGGUACCUAAUCAGAAAGCCACGGCUAACUACGUG
rnacentral:rRNA from 1 species